UACAGAGGUCCCAAGCGUUGUUCGGAUUCACUGGGCGUAAAGGGUGCGUAGGCGGUGAGGUAAGUCUGACGUGAAAUCUCCGGGCCUAACCCGGAAACUGCGUUGGAUACUAUCUCGCUAGAGGAAUGGAGGGGAGACUGGAAUACUUGGUGUAGCAGUGAAAUGCGUAGAUAUCAAGUGGAACACCAGUGGCGAAGGCGAGUCUCUGGACAUUUCCUGACGCUGAGGCACGAAAGCCAGGGGAGCAAACGGG
rnacentral:rRNA from 1 species